ACCCCCAUCCCCAUCCCGCUCCCAUCCCGAUCCUGUCCCGAUGUAGCCCCGCUGUUUGCGUGGCUGAGGCAGGCAGCUAUGGGAGUUACACCUCUGCCAGCCCGCCCUUCCUUCAGGCUUGGAAAUCUGUCUCCUGCAGGAUGCCCAGGCUGGGUUUGAGGAGGCACCAGCCCGUCAGAUGAAGCACAGGAGCUCUGAGGAGCAGCAGAAACGCCCGAAAUGGGAAAGACAGAAGUCAUUAACAGAAUGAAUGCAGCAAGGCAGUAUCCUGUACCCUUCAGGAAUGCUGGAUCCAGCAACACACAGAUGGAUGAAUCCCAGGAA